rnacentral:rRNA from 1 species
AACGAACGCUGGCGGCAUGCCUAACACAUGCAAGUCGAACGAAGGCUUCGGCCUUAGUGGCGCACGGGUGCGUAACGCGUGGGAAUCUGCCCUUUGGUUCGGAAUAACAGCUGGAAACGGCUGCUAAUACCGGAUGAUGACGAAAGUCCAAAGAUUUAUCGCCAGAGGAUGAGCCCGCGUUGGAUUAGGUAGUUGGUGGGGUAAAGGCCUACCAAGCCGACGAUCCAUAGCUGGUCUGAGAGGAUGAUCAGCCACACUGGGACUGAGACACGGCCCAGACUCCUACGGGAGGCAGAAGUGGGGAAUAUUGGACAAUGGGCGCAACCCUGAUCCAGCAAUGCCGCGUGAGUGAUGAAGGCCCUAGGGUUGUAAAGCUCUUUUACCCGGGAAGAUAAUGACUGUACCGGGAGAAUAGGCCCCGGCUAACUCCG